rnacentral:rRNA from 1 species
UGCUACCUACGGGGGGCAGCAGUGAGGAAUAUUGGUCAAUGGGCGGGAGCCUGAACCAGCCAAGUCGCGUGAGGGAAGACGGUCCUAUGGGUUGUAAACCUCUUUUGUCGGAGAACAAAACCCGGGACGUGUCCCGGACUGCGUGUAUCCGAAGAAAAAGCAUCGGCUAACUCCGUGCCAGCAGCCGCGGUAAUACGGAGGAUGCGAGCGUUAUCCGGAUUUAUUGGGUUUAAAGGGUGCGUAGGCGGUCCGUUAAGUCAGCGGUAAAAUUGCGGGGCUCAACCCCGUCGAGCAGUUGAAACUGG